GACGAACGCUGGCGGCGUGCCUAACACAUGCAAGUCGAGGGGUGAUUUCGGUCAUCACUGGCGCACGGGUGAGUAACGCGUAGAUCAUCUGCCCCUAUCACUGACAUAACAGUUCUAACGGACUGCUAAUAUCAGAUGAGGUGAGCAAUCAUCAAAGUUUCGACGGAUAGGGAUGAGUCUGCGUCUGAUUAGGGUAGUUGGUGAGGUAACGGCUCACCAAGCCGACGAUCAGUAACUGGUCUGAGAGGACGAACAGUCACACUGGAACUGAGACACGGUCCAGACUCCUAUGGGAGGCAGCAGUGAGGAAUAUUGCACAAUGGGAGGAAUCCUGAUGCAGCGACGCCGCGUGCGGGAUGAAGGGGCUUAGCCUCGUAAACCGCUGUCGGAGGGGACGAAUGGUACAUUUGAUGUACUGAGACGGUACCCUCAAAGGAAGGAUCGGCUAACUACGUGCCAGCAGCCGCGGUAAUC
rnacentral:rRNA from 1 species